AGAAUCCUUCGGUGGUGUUCCUGUAAACAGUACAGGGCUCAUGGUGAAUCCUGUUGCUCCGAUUGCGAGAUCUCGACAUGGACAGGCGGAGCUUCCUUCAUUAAAUGGAGAAGACACAAAGAUAAUCAAUGAUCUGUGCCGAUGCUUUUCACUCCUGAGGGUUACUGAUUAAUCAUUUGGGGCUGUGCCCCCGGAUGCCCAGGCCAGGCGACGCCCCAGAUCUGCACAUUACAGCAGUGAAGCAUCAAGGAUCCUGUCUCCUACUCAGCAUUAAACAUGCUGGCUAUAAUUUAUACU